rnacentral:rRNA from 1 species
GCUCCCUGAUGUUAGCGGCGGACGGGUGAGUAACACGUGGGUAACCUGCCUGUAAGACUGGGAUAACUCCGGGAAACCGGGGCUAAUACCGGAUGGUUGUUUGAACCGCAUGGUUCAAACAUAAAAGGUGGCUUCGGCUACCACUUACAGAUGGACCCGCGGCGCAUUAGCUAGUUGGUGAGGUAAUGGCUCACCAAGGCAACGAUGCGUAGCCGACCUGAGAGGGUGAUCGGCCACACUGGGACUGAGACACGGCCCAGACUCCUACGGGAGGCAGCAGUAGGGAAUCUUCCGCAAUGGACGAAAGUCUGACGGAGCAACGCCGCGUGAGUGAUGAAGGUUUUCGGAUCGUAAAGCUCUGUUGUUAGGGAAG